rnacentral:misc_RNA from 1 species
UUCUUCUACCAAGACAGGUUAGGAAGACAUCAAUAGGGUGAGAUUUGAGGGGGGCCCUGUUCUGACGGAUUGCGUUGGUGUAUCUGUACAUGAAUGAAAGGUGUUAUGAGUUGUAUGGGGCCGGUGUGGGGCCGAUGUGCUUCAUGUAUGAUAUGUGGGUUGAGAGUGUUGCAUUUUACCUGUAGUAAUGAGUUUUCUUGUUUGUUUCAUUGUCAUUGUCUUUGGUUUUUGGGGGAGAGUAGCGAUGGUAAUAUAGUGGCUGAGAUCUUGCGUUUGUAAAACUAGCUCAACUUUUUAGCUUCAGGCAGUUGAAUGAAAGAAUACAACCGACAAAAGAUGUUGAAGCGCCU